CCUACGGGAGGCAGCAGUGAGGAAUAUUGGUCAAUGGGCGCGAGCCUGAACCAGCCAAGUAGCGUGAAGGAUGACUGCCCUACGGGUUGUAAACUUCUUUUAUAAAGGAAUAAAGUGAGGCACGUGUGCCUUUUUGUAUGUACUUUAUGAAUAAGGAUCGACUAACUCCGUGCCAGCAGCCGCGGUAAUACGGAGGAUCCGAGCGUUAUCCGGAUUUAUUGGGUUUAAAGGGAGCGUAGAUGGGUUGUUAAGUCAGUUGUGAAAGUUUGCGGCUCAACCGUAAAAUUGCAAUUGAUACUGGCAGCCUUGAGUACAGUUGAGGUAGGCGGAAUUCGUGGUGUAGCGGUGAAAUGCAUAGAUAUCACGCAGAACUCCGAUUGCGAAGGCAGCAUACCGGCGCUCAACUGACGCUCAUGCACGAAAGUGUGGGUAUCGAACAGGAUUAGAUACCCUUGUAGUC
rnacentral:rRNA from 1 species